rnacentral:ncRNA from 1 species
UCUUAUCAAGAGUGGUGGAGGGAAGUGCCCUAAGAAGCCACGGCAACCGUCUUUUUGACAAGGUGCUAAAUCACAUGGUUCAAACCUAAAGAUGAGA